rnacentral:rRNA from 1 species
UUAGGUGCGGUAGACGCGAAACCGAGUGAUCUUACCAUGGUCAGGUUGAAGCUUCAGUAAAAUGAAGUGGAGGACCGAACCGACUUGGGUUGAAAACCGAGCGGAUGAACUGUGGUAAGGGGUGAAAGGCCAAUCAAACUCGGUGAUAUCUCGUUCUCUUCGAAAUGCAUCUAGGUGCAGCGUUACAGUAGAGUGUCGUGGAGGUAGAGCACUGAAUGGGCUAGGGGGCAUACCCGCUUACCAACCCCAAUUAAACUCCGAAUGCCAUAGACAUGUUUUGUAGCAGUGAGGCUAUGUGAGAUAAGUUUCAUAGCCGAGAGGGAAACAACCCAGACCUACAGCUAAGGCCCCUAAAUUAUAACUAAGUGAUAAAGGAUGUGUGUCAGCACAGACAGCUAGAAGGUUGGCUUAGAAGCAGCCAUUCCUUUAAAGAAAGCGUAACAGCUCACUAGUCAAGGUGAUGCGCGCCGAUAAUUUCCGGGACUCAAGUUAUAUGCCGAAGCUUAGGACUUUGCUUUGCAAAGUGGUAGAAGAGCGUUCCAUUAACCGUCGAAGGUUGAUUCGUGAGAACAACUGGAGGAGAUGGAAAUGAGGAUGCUGGCAUGAGUACGCGAUAAAACACGUUAAAUUCGUGUUCACCGUAAGCCUAAGGUUUCCUGAUCAACGUAAAUCGUAUCAGGGUUAGCCGGCCCCUAAGAUAAGACCGAAAGGUGUAGUCGAUGGGAAUCAGGUUUUUAAAUAUUCCUGAGCCUCCGAACCUUAAACUAGGAUCUCCAUCAGCCAGAUUUUUUAUACUUAUUGAUUUGUAUAAAAAAAGUAACUGGUGGCAAGAAAAAACCUAGUGUAUGCUAAGGAGACCGUACCGCAAUCCGACACAGGUAGGCGAGAUGAGUAUUCUCAGGUGCUUGAGUGAAUUCUGGUUAAGGAACUCGGCAAAUUAGCCUCGUAACUUCGGGAUAAGAGGUGCCUGCUUCGGCAGGCCGCAGUGAAAAGGGGGUAGCGACUGUUUACUAAAAACAUAGGUCUAUGCUAACACGUAAGUGGAAAUAUAUGGACUGACACCUGCCCGGUGCUGGAAGGUUAAGUAGAAGGGUUAGAAUCUUCGGAUUCAAAGCUCCGAAAUGAAGCCCCAGUAAACGGCGGCCGUAACUAUAACGGUCCUAAGGUAGCGAAAUUCCUUGUCGGGUAAGUUCCGACCUGCACGAAUGGUGUAACGACUUCCCCACUGUCUCGACCAGAAGCUCAGCGAAAUUGUAGUGCCGGUGAAGAUGCCGGCUAAUCAUAGAAGGACGGAAAGACCCCGUGAACCUUUACUAUAGCUUGAUAUUGAUUUUUAAUCUUGUAUGUGUAGGAUAGGUGGGAGACUUUGAAGCGGACACGCUAGUGUUCGUGGAGUCAUCCUUGAAAUACCACCCUUAUACUAUUGGAAAUCUAACCAUGCACCUUGAAUCAGGUGUUGGAACAGUGUCUGGUGGGUAGUUUGACUGGGGCGGUCUCCUCCCAAAAGGUAACGGAGGAGCUCAAAGGUCACCUCAGCACGGUCGGUAAUCGUGCGAAGAGUGCAAACGCAUAAGGUGGCUUAACUGCAAGACAGACAUGUCGAGCAGAUGCGAAAGCAGGAGUUAGUGAUCCAGCGGUCCCAAGUGGAAGGGCCGUUGCUAAUCGGAUAAAAGGUACUCCGGGGAUAACAGGCUUAUCUCCCCCAAGAGCUCAUAUCGACGGGGAGGUUUGGCACCUCGAUGUCGGCUCG